rnacentral:lncRNA from 1 species
UCUCUUGUUCCAUUCCAUCACAUUUUUUUCUUCCUUCAACAUUUUCUUGUAUGUUCCCUCCAUCUUAUCUUCUAUACCAUCAAUCAUUGUUAUUACUUGUGUUUGAUUCGAUUAAGUCAACCUCCUAAUUGGUUUUGGCAAUGAAGACAACAUAGUUUCUUACGUGUUCUUCAUCAUUUUUAUUAUCACUUUUAGAGUUUUUAUCUCUCCAAGUUACAUUAAAAGAUUUCUUCUUUCUUUAGGAUGGUUGCACACUCAGCCUAUAUAUGUUUAAACCCGUCGCAUUCAUGAUAUCAAAUGUCUUUCUUCUUCUCUCUAAGCUCAUCUUCAUUAGCUAUGGUUUUAGCUCUAUUCUUGUUGGCAUUUGGACCUCUUUCAUUACCCUUCCUAUAGAUAUUUUUUGUAAGAAGGGCCAAUUGCUAUUGUAAGUCUUUCGUCAAGGCAGUUGAUUCAGCAUCAAUUGCAACUGAGGCUACGACAUUUAGAGCAAUGUUCUCUAAUUUGAUUCAAUCUCUUUUGGCCUCUUCCAGGUUUAUCUCAAACGUUUGAAGGGACCAUAUCAAUUAUUCUACUCUUAUUGUGUUCAUGUCCUUGACCUAUUCAAUGGUUGUGACUUUGAUUAAUAAUCUUUCCAACAGAGAUUGCAUCAACUUUGUCAAUAGUUUUGUUUUUGAGUAUUCUUCGUGGGCAAAUGUUUGAUCAGUUAUAUCACACAAUUUUGCAUAAAAAUCAGUCAAAGUUUCAUCCUCGUUAGCAUUUGCAACUUUGACUACUUCUCUCCAGUGGUUUCCUUAUAAGUGGUCUCGAGAAUUUUCCAAGCUUCACGUAUAAAGAUGCAUUUGAAGGUGCAGCUAAACUCUUGAAGGUCAACUUCAUUAGAACUAACUUUUACGGCUUUGGAAGUGUAGCUAGUAGCUUUAUCCUCUUCAGCAUGCUAGUUUAUCUCUGACUUCAUUGUGCGAGUACUAUCAUUAUUUGUGGUCAUAGAUGGCUCCUAAUAAGCUAAGCUUUUUAUGCCUUACUUAAAUGAAUGCUCUAUUGUAAAAAGUUUUGUGAUAUUUAUAAUUGGAUCCAUCUAGCAUAGGGGCUGGACAUUAAGCUUUCUUCCUUUAAAGGGACUUUCAUUUUUUGGAAGCUAAAAGUAAACCAAGUAAAAAAAUUGAGAAAUUUCAAUUGAUAUAUUUUCGGCCAGUUUAGUUGGGAAACUUAAUUAGGGUUCGUUUGUUUACAUGUAAAAGGUUUUAGGGAAAUUAUUUUCUGCAUUUUCUUGUAUUUGUUUCACAGAAAAUAGUCUCGUCAACAGAAAAUUGUUGCGGAAGCAACGAUAAUAUUAAUAACAAUAUUAUCAGAAAUAUUUAGAUAAUUAUUAUGCCAACAAUUAUACUAAGAAAAUUCCCAGUUAAAUUGGAGGGGUCACAAAUGGUCCCGCUUAAAACCCAACAACUAGACAGAACUCACUUAGAUAUUUAUAGCAAUAAUAACUAAAUAAAUAUAACCAACAUAAAGCUAUUAAAUAUAAGCAAACAAAUAAGAAAUAAAAUACCAGAGAUUUAACGAGGUUCGGCCAAUUUAGCUUACGUCCUCGGACACUACCAAAUUAAUAUUUCUUCUAGAAAUAUUACAAAGGAGAAGAUUUUGGGAUGAUACAACCAAAGGGGGAGGGGUUCUAUAUAUAACAAACCAAACCCCCUCCCUUUCUAUCUUUUCCUAAUGUGGGAUAUUGCCAAUAUUCAACAAAUCUCCACCUUGGCGAUAUUCCACAUCUUCGAACAUCUUCUCAUAACACUAACUUCAAUAGUGUCUUCAAAUUUGCAACCAAUCGCCUUCUUCCCUUUUGGUAGUUGUGCCAGCUUCCACGUCUUGUUUUUCUCUAGAGAUUGCAUUUCCUCUUCCAUUGCACCUAACCAUCUAUUAUUCUCUAAACUCUGAAUGGCUUUGGUGUAAGUGGAUGGAAUAUUAUCAACAACUGGAAGUGCAUAAGCUACCAUGUCAGUGAAACGAGCAGGUUUCUGAAUUUCUCGUCUCUGCCUUCUGACUGCAAUUGGCUCUGAUUGCUGUUGAGGUUCUUGGGUAGAAACCUCUUCCUCAUCUAACUCUGCAUCUGCCAAUGAAGAAUCACUAGUGGUACCUUCUGCUGGAAUUACCACACUCUGCUCAAACUCCACCUGCUGCGGAGUACACUCCACCUGCUGCGAAGUACUACUCACUCCUUCUGGAUUUACCUUAUUCAACAUGGCAGAUUCAUGAAAGGUAACAUCCCUACUGAUUAUCGUCUUCUUUGCCUCUAGACACCACAAACGAUAUCCCUUAACACCAGCAUUGAAGCCCAUGAAUAGAGCCUUCUUUGCUCUUGGAUCUAACUUUGAUUCUUUCACAUGAUAAUAUGCAAUAGAACCAAAAAUGCGCAAGGUGUCAUAAUCAGUAGCAGGUUUUCCAUACCAUUUCUCCAAAGGAGUCUUGCCAUUUAUAGCAGAUGAUGGCAAAUGAUUGAUGAGAUGUUGAGCGUACGUCACAGCCUCAGUCCAAAAAUUUCUAUCUAAUCCAGCAUUAGAUAACAUACAUCGAACUUUCUCCACAAGCGUUCGAUUCAUACGCUCUGCCACCCCAUUCUGUUGCGGUGUUCCACCUACGGUGAAGUGCCUUACUAUGCCACAAUCUUGGCAUAUCUUCAGGAAUGGAUCGCUUUUAUAUUCUCCACCGUUGUCUGAUCGGAGAACCUUAAUCUUCCUUCCUGUCUGAUUUUCAACUUUAGUUUUCCACUUAAGGAAAACUUCAAGCACCUCAUAUUUGUUCUUCAUAGGAAACACCCAAACUCGUCUGGAAAAAUCAUCAAUAAAGGUGACAAAAUAACGUCUUCCUCCAAGUGAUGGAGUCUUAGACGGUCCCCAUACAUCAGAAUGCACAUAAUCCAGAAUACCUUUAGUAUUGUGAAUCCCAGUGCCAAAUUUCACCCUUCGUUGUUUUCCCAGAACACAAUGCUCGCAAAAUUCAAGUUUGCAAGUCUUUGUACCUUUCAAUAAUCCUUGCUUGGCUAGAGUUUGCAAGGAUUUUUCACCAGCAUAGCCCAAACGCAUAUGCCACAGCUGUGUUGCCUCAGCGUCCUUCUUGGUACUCGUAAUUGCUGCUGCUGUUGUCCCGACCACUGUACUACCUUGGUAGUAAUACAGAUUGUUCUUUCUUAUGCCUUUCAACAUCACCAAUGCUCCUGAAGUUGCUUUAAGAACUCCAUCUCGUAUUGUCACAACUAGGCCUUUAGAUUCUAACGACCCCAAAGAGAUGAGAUUCUUCUUCAACUUUGGGACAUAUCGUACAUCCCGCAAAAUUCUAGUAGAUCCAUCAUGACUCCUCAGUUUAAUUGAACCUAUCCCGGCUAUUUUACAUGUGUUAUCAUUACCCAUGUAAACAACCCCUUCAUCUAGUUUUUGAAAUUCAAAGAACCAUUCCCGAAUGGGACACAUAUGAUAGGAACAACCAGAAUCCAUGAUCCACUCAUCUGCAUAUAAUGUUGAAGAUGUCAUACUAAGAGAAAAGUCUAACUCUGCUUCACUAUUGCAUUCUGCAACAUUUGCAUCUUGCGGAGUCUUCCCUUUUUUCUUCAAUUUUGGACAAUCUUUCUUCCAAUGUCCUUUUUCUUUGCAAAAGGAACAUUCAUCUUUGGCAACAGCUCGACCUUUGGACUUUCUUCUCUUCCCAUUAGACUGACUUUGCUGACGACCUCUUGUUACCAAUGCUUCCACUGCUGCUUCACCUGAACCUUUCAACUUAUCCUUUCGGCGUAGUUCAUAGCUAUACAAUGCAGCAGUUACUUCAUUGAAAGUUACUUCCGAUUUUCCAUGAAGUAGAGUAGUUUCAAGGUACUCAAACUCCUCAGGAAGCGAUCCCAACAACAUUAACGCCAAGUUUUCGUCUUCAAAAGUCAUAUCCAAAUUCAACAAAUCAGCCACCAGCUGAUUAAAAUUGGUAAUGUGCUCGUUCAUCGUGGUACCAGGAACAUAAUUGAAACGAAACAGUCUUUUCUUCAUAUGCAACUUAUUUUGACUGUUCUUCUUCAAGAAUUUCUCCUCCAAUGCUUUCCACAAUUUACUUGCAGAAGUCUCUUUACUGAAUGUAUACUUCUGCUCUCUGGAAAGACAUGAUCGAAUUGUACCACAUGCCAAUCGGUUGAUGGUCUUCCAUUCUUUAUCAUCAACCCCUUCUGGUUUUUCUUCCUCAAUGGCAAUAUCUAGACCCUGUUGAAAGAGGGCAUCUAGAAGCUCACUUUGCCACAUGCCGAAAUGACCUGUUCCAUCAAAAAUUUCCACUACAAAUCUCGUAUUUGCAGUUCCAAUCCUCGGCAAAAUGUACGAAGUGGAAGUUGUUGAUAUGGAUGGUUUUUCUUCUGUCAUUUUUGCCAUAGCUUCUACUUAAUAGCCUCCAAAUGCAGAAUACCCACAAGCUUUAGGAAAUGUUUCUGAUGUGUAAGAUCAGACUAAGCUGCAAACAAAGAGCAUACUACAAAACCUUGGCUCGGAUACCAAUUGUUGCGGAAGCGACGAUAAUAUUAAUAACAAUAUUAUCAGAAAUAUUUAGAUAAUUAUUAUGCCAACAAUUAUACUAAGAAAAUUCCCAGUUAAAUUGGAGGGGUCACAAAUGGUCCCGCUUAAAACCCAACAACUAGACAGAACUCACUUAGAUAUUUAUAGCAAUAAUAACUAAAUAAAUAUAACCAACAUAAAGCUAUUAAAUAUAAGCAAACAAAUAAGAAAUAAAAUACCAGAGAUUUAACGAGGUUCGGCCAAUUUAGCUUACGUCCUCGGACACUACCAAAUUAAUAUUUCUUCUAGAAAUAUUACAAAGGAGAAGAUUUUGGGAUGAUACAACCAAAGGGGGAGGGGUUCUAUAUAUAACAAACCAAACCCCCUCCCUUUCUAUCUUUUCCUAAUGUGGGAUAUUGCCAAUAUUCAACAAAAAUAACUUACAUGUCAACAUAAAAUAAGCUAUUUUUCUUUAAAGGGACUUUCAUUUUUUGGAAGCUGAAAGUAAACCAAGUAAAAAAAUUGAGAAAUUUCAAUUGAUAUAUUUUCGGCCAGUUUAGUUGGGAAACUUAAUUAGGGUUCGUUUGUUUACAUGUAAAAGGUUUUAGGGAAAUUAUUUUCUGCAUUUUCUUGUAUUUGUUUCACAGAAAACAGUCUCGUCAACAGAAAAUAACUUACAUGUCAACAUAAAAUAAGCUAUUUUUCUUGUAAAAUGACUUACUGUUUUGAAAAGCAUAAGUCAUUUUCUGGAAAAGAUCUCCUCUAUAGAUAAUUUUAUUUUUAUAUAAAAAAUAACUUAAAUCAAGG